rnacentral:rRNA from 1 species
UACAGAGGUGGCAAGCGUUGUUCGGAAUUACUGGGCGUAAAGGGCGCGUAGGCGGUUCUGUAAGUCCCGCGUGAAAUCCCCCGGCUCAACUGGGGAACUGCGCGGGAAACUGUGGGGCUAGAGUUCAGGAGAGGGAAGCGGAAUUCCGGGUGUAGCGGUGAAAUGCGUAGGUAUCCGGAGGAACACCGGUGGCGAAGGCGGCUUCCUGGACUGACACUGACGCUGAGGCGCGAAAGCUAGGGGAGCAAACGGG